rnacentral:rRNA from 1 species
UCGAGGGGCAGCACAGGUAGCAAUACCGGGUGGCGACCGGCGCACGGGUGAGUAACGCGUAUGCAACUUGCCUAUCAGAGGGGGAUAACCCGGCGAAAGUCGGACUAAUACCGCAUGAAGCAGGGAUCCCGCAUGGGGAUAUUUGCUAAAGAUUCAUCGCUGAUAGAUAGGCAUGCGUUCUAUUAGGCAGUUGGCGGGGUAACGGCCCACCAAACCGACGAUGGAUAGGGGUUCUGAGAGGAAGGUCCCCCACAUUGGUACUGAGACACGGACCAAACUCCUACGGGAGGCAGCAGUGAGGAAUAUUGGUCAAUGGGCGUAAGCCUGAACCAGCCAAGUCGCGUGAGGGAUGAAGGUUCUAUGGAUCGUAAACCUCUUUUAUAAGGGAAUAAAGUGCGGGACGUGUCCCGUUUUGUAUGUACCUUAUGAAUAAGGAUCGGCUAACUCCGUGCCAGCAGCCGCGGUAAUACGGAGGAUCCGAGCGUUAUCCGGAUUUAUUGGGUUUAAAGGGUGCGUAGGCGGCCUUUUAAGUCAGCGGUGAAAGUCUGUGGCUCAACCAUAGAAUUGCCGUUGAAACUGGGGGGCUUGAGUAUGUUUGAGGCAGGCGGAAUGCGUGGUGUAGC